rnacentral:rRNA from 1 species
CCUUCGGUGAUCCGCCCGGACCUGACUGCUAUCGGAUUGGUACUAAGCCAUGCGAGUCGUUGUAGCAAUACAAGGCGGACGGCUCAGUAACACGUAGUCAACCUAACCUAUGGACGUGGAUAACCUCGGGAAACUGAGAAUAAACCGCGAUAGAUCAUUAUGCCUGGAAUGGCUUAUGGUUCAAACAAUUUAUUGCCGUAGGAUGGGACUGCGGCCUAUCAGCUUGUUGGUGAGGUAAUGGCCCACCAAGGCUAUAACAGGUACGGGCUCUGAGAGGAGAAGCCCGGAGAUGGGUACUGAGACACGGACCCAGGCCCUAUGGGGCGCAGCAGGCGAGAAACCUUAGCAAUGUGCGAAAGCACGACUAGGUUAAUCCGAGUGAUUUCUGUUGAAGAAAUCUUUUGUCAGUCGUAAAACCACAGACGAAUAAGGGGUGGGCAAGUCUGGUGUCAGCCGCCGCGGUAAUACCAGCACCUCGAGUGGUCAGGAGGUUUAUUGGGCCUAAAGCAUCCGUAGCCGGCUACGCAAGUCUCCGGUUAAAUCCAGCUGCUCAACAGAUGGGCUGCCGGAGAUACUACAUAGCUAGGGAGCGGGAGAGGUAGACGGUAUUCUGUGGGUAGGGGUAAAAUCCACUGAUCCAUAGAGGACCACCAGUGGCGAAGGCGGUCUACCAGAACGCGUUCGACGGUGAGGGAUGAAAGCUGGGGGAGCGAACCGGAUUAGAUACCCGGGUAGUCCCAGCCGUAAACGAUGCAAGCUAGAUGAUCCGAUCGCAGUUCGCGAUCGGAGUGUCGCAGGGAAGCCGUUAAGCUUGCCGCCUGGGGAGUACGGUCGCAAGGCUGAAACUUAAAGGAAUGGCGGGGGAGCA